GUGGAAACACGACUCGAUACAAAGAAACACGACUAAGCAGGUGGGAACACGACUUGAUGAACAGAAACACGACUCAGCAGGUGGAAACACGACUCGAUACAAAGAAACACGACUAAGCAGGUGGGAACACGACUUGAUGAACAGAAACACGACUCAGCAGGUGGAAACACGACU